rnacentral:rRNA from 1 species
UGGCUCAGGACGAACGCUGGCGGCGUGCCUAACACACGCAAGUCGAGCGAGGAGAUCCUCGGGAUGAUCCUAGCGGCGGACGGGUGAGUAACACGUGGGCAACCUGCCUCAUAGAGAGGAAUAGCCUUCCGAAAGGGAGAUUAAUACCUCAUAACAUUGCAGUUUCGCAUGGAACAGCAAUUAAAGGAGCAAUCCGCUAUGAGAUGGGCCCGCGGCGCAUUAGCUAGUUGGUGAGGUAACGGCUCACCAAGGCGACGAUGCGUAGCCGACCUGAGAGGGUGAUCGGCCACAUUGGGACUGAGACACGGCCCAGACUCCUACGGGAGGCAGCAGUGGGGAAUAUUGCACAAUGGGGGAAACCCUGAUGCAAGCAACGCCGCGUGAGUGAUGACGGCCUUCGGGUUGUAAAGCUCUGUCUUCAGGGACGAUAAUGACGGUACCUGAGGAGGAAGCCACGGCUAACUACGUGCCAGCCGCAGC